AUACGUAGGUGGCAAGCGUUGUCCGGAUUUACUGGGUGUAAAGGGCGUGUAGGCGGAGAUGCAAGUCAGGAGUGAAAUCUAGGGGCUCAACCCCUAAACUACUUUUGAAACUGUAUCCCUUGAGUAUCGGAGAGGCAGGCGGAAUUCCUAGUGUAGCGGUGAAAUGCGUAGAUAUUAGGAGGAACACCAGUUGCGAAGGCGGCCUGCUGGACGACAACUGACGCUGAGGCGCGAAAGCGGGGGGAGCAAACAGGAUUAGAUACCCUGGUAGUCCACGCCCUAAACGAUGAAUACUAGGUGUGGGGGGACUGACCCCCUCCGUGCCGGAGUAAACACAAUAAGUAUUCCACCUGGGGAGUACGACCGCAAGGUUGAAACUCAAAUGAAUUGACGUGG
rnacentral:rRNA from 1 species